UGCUCAUAUCUUUUGAGUUUCCCCAAGUUUUUGCAAUGCCUGAGAAAGCUCUGGGGCACUUUCCAGAUGUAGGAGCCUCCUAUUUCUUGUCAAGGCUCCCCGGAUUUUUUGGAGAAUAUGUUGGCUUCACCGGAGCUAAGUUAGAUGGCGCCGAAGGCCGAAAUGCUUGCAUGUGGUCUUGCAACUCAUUUUGUGCCUUCAACGGUAUGAACUCCCUUUUCUUACAUACGUCGUAAGACUUGCGUAUUCUCCAUUGUCGGCAUGUAAUGCCGUUUAAAGGCUUAGAGUAAUUUAAAAAGUAUAAAGUCAUGUAAUAUGUUCUUAUAUUUCAAAACAAAAAAAUAAAUACAAGAAUAACGAAUAAUAUGAAUGGUUCGUUAAAAUUGUAAAUGGUUAUACUA